rnacentral:lncRNA from 1 species
UUGUUUAAGUGUUUGAAGAAGUACAGUUUCUUAGUUUCAUUCUUUGAAUAAGUGAUGAAUGUUAGUGAUAAUGGAUGAAAAGAGUCACUCAGACGAAAUGCUUGGUUGCCUUCCGUUGAAUUACCCCCAAGAUGUUGAUACUUCUGAAGAUGAUUGGACGCAACUUUCUUAAGCUCAACUAACAGAGGAACCCUGUGCAUUCUAAACUAAGAGGGAAGUUGUAUCACACUAGAGGUACUAUGAACAUUGUCAGCUUUACCUAACACGGUGAGAGUAGAAAAGGCCAAACACAAUAUUCAUCAUGAGAGAUAAUUCAGGUAUGUCUCUAUCACUCAGAUUUUGCGUAAGUUAUUUUCGAAUACCACUACAUUAUUACACACACUGAGGCAAGUUAUUUCUUUUACCCCUGAACCAUUCAAG